rnacentral:misc_RNA from 1 species
AAGUCGUAACAAGGUUUCCGUAGGUGAACCUGCGGAAGGAUCAUUAAAAAUAUAGCAAACCGAGCGUCAGCGAGGUUUUGCGAUCAAAAUUGUAUUUAAAACCCAACUCUUUGAAUCAAAUAUAUAUUAUGUAUUUUAAAAAUAAAUAAAGAUCACUUUCAACAACGGAUCUCUUGGCUCUC